UUAAGCGACUAAGCGUACACGGUGGAUGCCCUGGCAGUCAGAGGCGAUGAAGGACGUGCUAAUCUGCGAUAAGCGUCGGUGAGGUGAUAUGAACCGUUAUAACCGGCGAUUUCCGAAUGGGGAAACCCAGUGUGUUUCGACACACUAUCAUUAACUGAAUCCAUAGGUUAAUGAGGCGAACCGGGGGAACUGAAACAUCUAAGUACCCCGAGGAAAAGAAAUCAACCGAGAUUCCCCCAGUAGCGGCGAGCGAACGGGGAGGAGCCCAGAGCCUGAAUCAGUGUGUGUGUUAGUGGAAGCGUCUGGAAAGGCGUGCGAUACAGGGUGACAGCCCCGUACACAAAAAUGCACAUAUUGUGAGCUCGAUGAGUAGGGCGGGACACGUGGUAUCCUGUCUGAAUAUGGGGGGACCAUCCUCCAAGGCUAAAUACUCCUGACUGACCGAUAGUGAACCAGUACCGUGAGGGAAAGGCGAAAAGAACCCCGGCGAGGGGAGUGAAAAAGAACCUGAAACCGUGUACGUACAAGCAGUGGGAGCCUCUUAAUGGGGUGACUGCGUACCUUUUGUAUAAUGGGUCAGCGACUUAUAUUCUGUAGCAAGGUUAACCGAAUAGGGGAGCCGAAGGGAAACCGAGUCUUAACUGGGCGUUAAGUUGCAGGGUAUAGACCCGAAACCCGGUGAUCUAGCCAUGGGCAGGUUGAAGGUUGGGUAACACUAACUGGAGGACCGAACCGACUAAUGUUGAAAAAUUAGCGGAUGACUUGUGGCUGGGGGUGAAAGGCCAAUCAAACCGGGAGAUAGCUGGUUCUCCCCGAAAGCUAUUUAGGUAGCGCCUCGUGAAUUCAUCUCCGGGGGUAGAGCACUGUUUCGGCAAGGGGGUCAUCCCGACUUACCAACCCGAUGCAAACUGCGAAUACCGGAGAAUGUUAUCACGGGAGACACACGGCGGGUGCUAACGUCCGUCGUGAAGAGGGAAACAACCCAGACCGCCAGCUAAGGUCCCAAAGUCAUGGUUAAGUGGGAAACGAUGUGGGAAGGCCCAGACAGCCAGGAUGUUGGCUUAGAAGCAGCCAUCAUUUAAAGAAAGCGUAAUAGCUCACUGGUCGAGUCGGCCUGCGCGGAAGAUGUAACGGGGCUAAACCAUGCACCGAAGCUGCGGCAGCGACACUAUGUGUUGUUGGGUAGGGGAGCGUUCUGUAAGCCUGUGAAGGUGGCCUGUGAGGGUUGCUGGAGGUAUCAGAAGUGCGAAUGCUGACAUAAGUAACGAUAAAGCGGGUGAAAAGCCCGCUCGCCGGAAGACCAAGGGUUCCUGUCCAACGUUAAUCGGGGCAGGGUGAGUCGACCCCUAAGGCGAGGCCGAAAGGCGUAGUCGAUGGGAAACAGGUUAAUAUUCCUGUACUUGGUGUUACUGCGAAGGGGGGACGGAGAAGGCUAUGUUGGCCGGGCGACGGUUGUCCCGGUUUAAGCGUGUAGGCUGGUUUUCCAGGCAAAUCCGGAAAAUCAAGGCUGAGGCGUGAUGACGAGGCACUACGGUGCUGAAGCGACAAAUGCCCUGCUUCCAGGAAAAGCCUCUAAGCAUCAGGUAACAUCAAAUCGUACCCCAAACCGACACAGGUGGUCAGGUAGAGAAUACCAAGGCGCUUGAGAGAACUCGGGUGAAGGAACUAGGCAAAAUGGUGCCGUAACUUCGGGAGAAGGCACGCUGAUAUGUAGGUGAAGCGACUUGCUCGUGGAGCUGAAAUCAGUCGAAGAUACCAGCUGGCUGCAACUGUUUAUUAAAAACACAGCACUGUGCAAACACGAAAGUGGACGUAUACGGUGUGACGCCUGCCCGGUGCCGGAAGGUUAAUUGAUGGGGUUAGCGGUAACGCGAAGCUCUUGAUCGAAGCCCCGGUAAACGGCGGCCGUAACUAUAACGGUCCUAAGGUAGCGAAAUUCCUUGUCGGGUAAGUUCCGACCUGCACGAAUGGCGUAAUGAUGGCCAGGCUGUCUCCACCCGAGACUCAGUGAAAUUGAACUCGCUGUGAAGAUGCAGUGUACCCGCGGCAAGACGGAAAGACCCCGUGAACCUUUACUAUAGCUUGACACUGAACAUUGAGCCUUGAUGUGUAGGAUAGGUGGGAGGCUUUGAAGUGUGGACGCCAGUCUGCAUGGAGCCGGCCUUGAAAUACCACCCUUUAAUGUUUGAUGUUCUAACGUUGGCCCGUAAUCCGGGUUGCGGACAGUGUCUGGUGGGUAGUUUGACUGGGGCGGUCUCCUCCUAAAGAGUAACGGAGGAGCACGAAGGUUGGCUAAUCCUGGUCGGACAUCAGGAGGUUAGUGCAAUGGCAUAAGCCAGCUUGACUGCGAGCGUGACGGCGCGAGCAGGUGCGAAAGCAGGUCAUAGUGAUCCGGUGGUUCUGAAUGGAAGGGCCAUCGCUCAACGGAUAAAAGGUACUCCGGGGAUAACAGGCUGAUACCGCCCAAGAGUUCAUAUCGACGGCGGUGUUUGGCACCUCGAUGUCGGCUCAUCACAUCCUGGGGCUGAAGUAGGUCCCAAGGGUAUGGCUGUUCGCCAUUUAAAGUGGUACGCGAGCUGGGUUUAGAACGUCGUGAGACAGUUCGGUCCCUAUCUGCCGUGGGCGCUGGAGAACUGAGGGGGGCUGCUCCUAGUACGAGAGGACCGGAGUGGACGCAUCACUGGUGUUCGGGUUGUCAUGCCAAUGGCACUGCCCGGUAGCUAAAUGCGGAAGAGAUAAGUGCUGAAAGCAUCUAAGCACGAAACUUGCCCCGAGAUGAGUUCUCCCUGACCCUUUAAGGGUCCUGAAGGAACGUUGAAGACGACGACGUUGAUAGGCCGGGUGUGUAAGCGCAGCGAUGCGUUGAGCUAACCGGUACUAAUGAACCGUGAGGCUUAACCUU
rnacentral:rRNA from 1 species